rnacentral:rRNA from 1 species
AACGAACGCUGGCGGCAUGCCUAACACAUGCAAGUCGAACGAGACCUUCGGGUCUAGUGGCGCACGGGGGCGUAACGCGUGGGAACCUGCCCUUAGGGUCGGAAUAACUCUACGACAGGGGUGCCAACACCGGAUAAUGUCUACGGACCAAAGAUAUAUCGAGCUUGGAUGGGCCGGCGUUGGAUUAGGUUGUUGGUAGGGUAAAAGACUAACAAGGCGACGAUGAGUAGCUGGUAACAGAGGAAGAUCAGCCACACUAGGAUGGAGACGCGGCCCAGACUCCUACGGGAGGCGGCAGAGGGGAAUAGUGCACAGCGGGCGGAAGGCUGAACGUCCAAGGAUCGGUGAGCGAUGAAAGCCGGAGGGUAGUAAAGCUCUUUUAACCGGGAAGAUAAUGACGGUACCGGGAGAAAAAGCUCCGGCUAACUCCGUG